UGAUAAUGAUGAGGGCAAAUUUUGAGCAUAGCCUUAAAUCUUUCCCAUGCGUGGUUAGGAUUCUCUCCAUAUUUCUACCUAAAAUAGAAUAUCAUAUCUCAAACA
rfam:Capsicum annuum cultivar Zunla-1 chromosome 5, whole genome shotgun sequence